GACGAACGCUGGCGGCGUGCCUAAUACAUGCAAGUCGAACGCAGUGGGGACGGGUGAGGAACACGUGGGUAACCUCCCAUCAGAGGGGAUAACACUUGGAAACAGGUGCUAAACCGAUACUGAUGGAUGGACCCGCGGUGCAUUCGCUAGUGGGUGAGGUAACGGCUCACCAAGGCCACGAUGCAUAGCCGACCUGAGAGGGGGAUCGGCCACACUGGGACUGAGACACGGCCCAGACUCCGACGGGAGGCAGCAGUGGGGAAUCUUGCGCAAUGGACGCAAGCCUGACCGAGCAACGCCGCGUGAGUGAAGAAGGUUUUCGGGUCGUAAAACUCUGUUGUUAGAGAAGCGGUAUCUGACCAGGAAGCAACGGCUAACUACGUGCCAGCAGCCGCGGUAAUAC
rnacentral:rRNA from 1 species